ACGCUGGCGGCGUGCAUAACACAUGCAAGUCGAACGAUGAAACUUAGAUGAUUUCUUCGGAAUGAACUUAAGCGGAUUAGUGGCGAACGGGUGAGUAACACGUGAGUAACCUGCCUUACACAAGGGGAUAGCCUUUGGAAACGAAGAAUAAUACCCUAUAACGUCAAUUUAUCGCAUGAUAGAAUGACCAAAGAUUUAUCGGUGUAAGAUGGACUUGCGUCUGAUUAGCUAGUUGGUGAGAUAAAGGCCCACCAAGGCAACGAUCAGUAGCCGGCUUGAGAGAGUGUACGGCCACAUUGGGACUGAGACACGGCCCAAACUCCUACGGGAGGCAGCAGUGGGGAAUUUUGCACAAUGGGGGAAACCCUGAUGCAGCGACGCCGCGUGAUUUAGAAGGCCUUCGGGUUGUAAAAAUCUUUUUUAUGGGAUGAAAAUGACAGUACCAUAAGAAUAAGGUCCGGCUAAAUACGUGCCAGCAGCCGCGGUAAUACGUAUGGACCGAGCGUUGUCCGGAAUCAUUGGGCGUAAAGGGUACGUAGGCGGCCCAGUAAGUUAGAAGUGAAAUAAUAUAGCUCAACUAUAUAAAGCUUUUAAAACUGCUAGGCUUGAGAGAUGGAAGGGAAAGUGGAAUUCCUAGUGUAGCGGUGAAAUGCGCAGAUAUUAGGAAGAAUACCGGUGGCGAAGGCGACUUUCUGGUCAUCAUCUGACGCUGAGGUACGAAAGCGUGGGUAGCAAACAGGAUUAGAUACCCUGGUAGUCCACGCUGUAAACGAUGAGUGUUAGGUUCUUGGAAUAAUCUGGGAGCCGCAGCUAACGCAUUAAACACUCCGCCUGGGGAGUCGCACGCAAGUGUG
rnacentral:rRNA from 1 species